GAUGAACGCUAGCGGCAGGCCUAACACAUGCAAGUCGAGGGGUAACAGGGAAGCUUGCUUUCGCUGACGACCGGCGCACGGGUGCGUAACGCGUAUGCAACCUACCUCAUACUGGAGGAUAGCCCCUGGAAACGGGGAUUAAUACUCCAUAGUAUCACGAAUUCGCAUGUUUUUGUGAUUAAAGUUUUUCGGUAUGAGAUGGGCAUGCGUCCCAUUAGUUAGUUGGUAAGGUAAUGGCUUACCAAGACUUUGAUAGGUAGGGGUCCUGAGAGGGAGAUCCCCCACACUGGUACUGAGACACGGACCAG
rnacentral:rRNA from 1 species